CCUGCCCAUAAGAAAAAAUAGUCCCUACUUUGUAUCUUAUGUGUUACCAUGAUGACCCCUUCCAAAACCCCCACCUUUGGUCCCUCCAAAUCCCCACCCCUCCCCAAUUCCACUGUUUAACAUGCCUUUUGGCACACAUACACACGGUUUCCUACAUACACACACAUAUACACAGACAUGCAGAAGCACUCACAAAAAAGUACACACAGACAUGCACAAAAUCCUACAGUAAAAAAAACAACAAAAUCUAUGCCACCGCACUCAUACUAAGGUGAUACAUAAAUAUAUACU